UGGGGAAUUUUGGACAAUGGGCGAAAGCCUGAUCCAGCAAUGCCGCGUGUGUGAAGAAGGCCUUCGGGUUGUAAAGCACUUUUGUCCGGAAAGAAAUCCUUGGCUCUAAUACAGUCGGGGGAUGACGGUACCGGAAGAAUAAGCACCGGCUAACUACGUGCCAGCAGCCGCGGUAAUACGUAGGGUGCAAGCGUUAAUCGGAAUUACUAGGCGUAAAGCGUGCGCAGGCGGUUUGCUAAGACCGAUGUGAAAUCCCCGGGCUCAACCUGGGAACUGCAUUGGUGACUGGCAGGCUAGAGUAUGGCAGAGGGGGGUAGAAUUCCACGUGUAGCAGUGAAAUGCGUAGAGAUGUGGAGGAAUACCGAUGGCGAAGGCAGCCCCCUGGGCCAAAUACUGACGCUCAUGCACGAAAGCGUGGGGAGCAAACAGGAUUAGAUACCCUGGUAGUCCACGCCCUAAACGAUGUCAACUAGUUGUUGGGGAUUCAUUUCCUUAGUAACGUAGCUAACGCGUGAAGUUGACCGCCUGGGGAGUACGGUCGCAA
rnacentral:rRNA from 1 species